rnacentral:rRNA from 1 species
AAUAUUGGACAAUGGGGGCAACCCUGAUCCAGCCAUGCCGCGUGUGUGAAGAAGGUCNNNGGAUUNUCAAGCACUUUAAGCUGNGAGNAAGGGCUUUAGGCUAAUACCCUGAAGUCUUGACGUUACCAACAGAAUAAGCACCGGCUAACUCUGUGCCAGCAGCCGCGGGAAUACAGAGGGUGCAAGCGGUAAUGGGAAUUACUGGGCGUAAAGCGCGCGUAGGUGGGUCAGUAAGAUGGGUGUGAAAUCCCCGGGCUUAACCUGGGAACUGCUUUCAUAACUGCUGGGCUAGAGUACGGUAGAGGGUAGUGGAAUUUCCUGUGUAGCGGUGAAAUGCGUAGAUAUAGGAAGGAACACCAGUGGCGAAGGCGACUACCUGGACUGAUACUGACACUGAGGUGCGAAAGCGUGGGGAGCAAAC